AACGAACGCUGGCGGCAGGCUUAACACAUGCAAGUCGAACGCCCCGCAAGGGGAGUGGCAGACGGGUGAGUAACGCGUGGGAAUCUACCCAUCCCUACGGAACAACUCCGGGAAACUGGAGCUAAUACCGUAUACGCCCUUCGGGGGAAAGAUUUAUCGGGGAUGGAUGAGCCCGCGUUGGAUUAGCUAGUUGGUGGGGUAAAGGCCUACCAAGGCGACGAUCCAUAGCUGGUCUGAGAGGAUGAUCAGCCACAUUGGGACUGAGACACGGCCCAAACUCCUACGGGAGGCAGCAGUGGGGAAUAUUGGACAAUGGGCGCAAGCCUGAUCCAACCAUGCCGCGUGAGUGAUGAAGGCCUUAGGGUUGUAAAGCUCUUUCACCGAUGAAGAUAAUGACGGUAGUCGGAGAAGAAGCCCCGGCUAACUUCGUGCCAGCCGCCGCGGUAA
rnacentral:rRNA from 1 species